rnacentral:ncRNA from 1 species
UAACAGCGGUAUACAGUAAGUCAGUCAGAUGUCUGGUGAACACAUUCGUAAUGAGUAUGGGUCUAGUAGGUGUACUAGUAAGGAAGCGAGGUACUGAGUUUAGCGUCGACAAGGCAAGUAGGAUUCUUCAAAAGAAGAGUCUGCAGGGGCAGCAAAUCUAGUUUCCAAAUAAGUCAGUUACCCGGGCCCUGUACACACCGCCCGUCACACCCUGGGAAUUGGUUUCGCCCGAAGCAUCGGACCAAUGAUCACCCAUGACUUCUGUGGCACACUAGUGCCACAAAGGCCUUUGGUGGUCUUAUUGGCGCAUACCACGGUGGGGUCUUCGACUGGGGUGAAGUCGUAACAAGGUAGCCGUAGGGGAACCUGUGGCUGGAUUGAAUCUUUC